CAGCAGCCGCGGUAAUACGAAGGGGGCUAGCGUUACUCGGAAUUACUGGGCGUAAAGGGCGCGUAGGCGGCACGAUUAGUCAGGCGUGAAAUUCCUGGGCUCAACCUGGGGACUGCGCUUGAUACGGUCGAGCUAGAGGAUGGAAGAGGGUCGUGGAAUUCCCAGUGUAGAGGUGAAAUUCGUAGAUAUUGGGAAGAACACCGGUGGCGAAGGCGGCGACCUGGUCCAUUACUGACGCUGAGGCGCGACAGCGUGGGGAGCAAACAGGAUUAGAUACCCCGGUAGUCCCUGUCUCUUAUAC
rnacentral:rRNA from 1 species